rnacentral:rRNA from 1 species
GAUGAACGCUGGCGGCGUGCCUAAUACAUGCAAGUCGAGCGAACGGACGAGAAGCUUGCUUCUCUGAUGUUAGCGGCGGACGGGUGAGUAACACGUGGAUAACCUACCUAUAAGACUGGGAUAACUUCGUGAAACCGGAGCUAAUACCGGAUAAUAUUUUGAACCGCAUGGUUCAAAAGUGAAAGACGGUCUUGCUGUCACUUAUAGAUGUAUCCGCGCUGCAUUAGCUAGUUGGUAAGGUAACGGCUUACCAAGGCAACGAUGCAUAGCCGACCUGAGAGGGUGAUCGGCCACACUGGAACUGAGACACGGUCCAGACUCCUACGGGAGGCAGCAGUAGGGAAUCUUCCGCAAUGGGCGAAAGCCUGACGGAGCAACGCCGCGUGAGUGAUGAAGGUCUUCGGAUCGUAAAACUCUGUUAUUAGGGAAGAAAAUAUGUGUAAGUAACUGUGCACAUCUUGACGGUACCUAAUCAGAAAGCCACGGCUAACUACGUG